UGUUGGCUUAGAAGCAGCCAUCAUUUAAAGAAAGCGUAAUAGCUCACUGGUCGAGUCGGCCUGCGCGGAAGAUGUAACGGGGCUAAACCAUGCACCGAAGCUGCGGCAGCGACACUAUGUGUUGUUGGGUAGGGGAGCGUUCUGUAAGCCUGUGAAGGUGUGCUGUGAGGUAUGCUGGAGGUAUCAGAAGUGCGAAUGCUGACAUAAGUAACGAUAAAGCGGGUGAAAAGCCCGCUCGCCGGAAGACCAAGGGUUCCUGUCCAACGUUAAUCGGGGCAGGGUGAGUCGACCCCUAAGGCGAGGCCGAAAGGCGUAGUCGAUGGGAAACAGGUUAAUAUUCCUGUACUUGGUGUUACUGCGAAGGGGGGACGGAGAAGGCUAUGUUGGCCGGGCGACGGUUGUCCCGGUUUAAGCGUGUAGGCUGGUUUUCCAGGCAAAUCCGGAAAAUCAAGGCUGAGGUGUGAUGACGAGGCACUACGGUGCUGAAGCAACAAAUGCCCUGCUUCCAGGAAAAGCCUCUAAGCAUCAGGUAACAUCAAAUCGUACCCCAAACCGACACAGG
rnacentral:rRNA from 1 species